rnacentral:tRNA from 1 species
CAAGGCGUAGCUACAACACAAAGCAUUCAGCUUACACCUGAAAGAUAUCUGCCACCUACCAGAUCGCCUUGA